rnacentral:rRNA from 1 species
AGAGUUUGAUCCUGGCUACAGAACGAACGCUGGCGGCGUGUCUUAAACAUGCAAGUCGAACGAUCUGUAGCAAUACAGGGAGUGGCGGACGGGUGAGGAACACGUAGGAAUCUACCUUGAAGAGCGGGACAACUUUGGGAAACCGGGGCUAAUACCGCAUAGUACAGAGAUGUUAAAGGGCUAGCAAUAGUCGCUUCGAGAUGAGCCUGCGGUCUAUCAGCUUGUUGGUGAGGUAAUGGCUCACCAAGGCUACGACGGAUAGCCGGUCUGAGAGGAUGAUCGGCCACACUGGCACUGAGACACGGGCCAGACUCCUACGGGAGGCAGCAGUUAAGAAUCUUGCGCAAUGGGGGAAACCCUGACGCAGCGACGCCGCGUGAAGGAUGAAGGCUUUCGGGUUGUAAACUUCGGUAGACUGGGAAGAAGAAAUACGUUCGUUGAGGGCGUAUAGUGACGGUACCAGUCUGAAGCCCCGGCUAAUUACGUG